ACGUCAGUAGUGCAACGGGUAGAAGCACCCUCUACCGAAUGGAGUGAGAUGCGGAUUCGAGUCCCGCCUGACGCA